rnacentral:rRNA from 1 species
AGAGUUUGAUCAUGGCUCAGGACGAACGCUGCCGGCGUGCUUAACACAUGCAAGUCGAACGGGGAAUAGCAAUAAUUCCUAGUGGCGAACGGGUGAGUAACGCGUAGACAACCUGCCUUCUAGACGGGGACAACGUUCCGAAAGGAGCGCUAAUACCGGAUGAGGUGUCUUGGGUGCAUACUGGAGACAAGAAAGGUGGCCUCUAUAUAUAAGCUACCGCUAGAAGAUGGGUCUGCGUCUGAUUAGCUAGUUGGCGGGGUAACGGCCCACCAAGGCGACGAUCAGUAGCCGGUCUGAGAGGAUGAACGGCCACACUGGGACUGAGACACGGCCCAGACUCCUACGGGAGGCAGCAGUGGGGAAUCUUCCGCAAUGGACGAAAGUCUGACGGAGCAACGCCGCGUGAGUGAAGAAGGUUUUCGGAUUGUAAAGCUCUGUCUUCUGGGAAGAAUGUCAUCCUUGAAAAUAUUGAGGGUGAAUGACGGUACUGAGAGGAGGAACCACGGCUAACUCCGUGCCAGCAGCCGCGGUAAUAC